AUAGCCCUGUGCUUUAUUAGCGCAGUGUUAGAGAAGUGAGGACCGAACAAUAUGACGGGGCAAGAGCUCCGCUUAGCUUAGUUAGGAAGGCAAUAUUGCGCGUGCUAAGGCUAAGUAAGCAUCAAAGCCCAUAGCGCGAAAGGGAAGAAUCAGAGUCUGGGCGGCGGGCGGUGGGAUAGAAAAUAUGAUGUUUUCCAAAGAAUGAUUCUCCAAUCGUACAUAAUAGCCACCAAAACCGAUUUUUCAAGC
rnacentral:lncRNA from 1 species